CUCCUGUUUCCUGCAAGCAUAUAAAUUAAAUACCCCAGGGAAAAGAGGAAAAGCUUCGAAUUAUAAAUACAAAAAGUUGGAAAAGUAAUGGCGGAGAUGGAGCCGUUGAUGCGCAGCCACGCCGCGGACGAGGAGAAACCGAUGGAGCUGGAUGAACUAGCUAAUAGAAGCGGCGGCGUUGCUAAUCGGAAAGCUGCUCGCGUGGCUUCUCUCGAUGUUUUCCGUGGCCUUUGCGUUUUCCUGAUGAUGCUUGUAGAUUACGCAGGCUCUAUUUUCCCAGCUAUUUCUCAUGCCCCUUGGAACGGUGUUCAUUUGGCAGACUUAGUGAUGCCGUUUUUCCUUUUCGCUGCUGGAGUAUCUAUUGUAAUUGUAUACAAGAAAGUUUCAGACAGAGUAGAAGCUACAUGGAAGGCCAUCCUUAGAGGAUUGAAACUCUUCAUGCUCGGUGUUUUUCUUCAGGGUGGAUAUUUUCACGGUGUUACUUCUUUGACAUAUGGAGUGGACGUUGAGAAGAUAAGAUUCCUUGGCAUCUUACAGAGGAUAGCAGUUGGAUAUGUUGUAGCUGCAAUGUGUGAAAUAUGGCUCCCGUGGCAAAGGAGGAGAGGAGAUGGUUUCCGUAGAAAUUAUCAUCUUCAAUGGUUUGUCGCAUUGUUUCUGUCAGUCAUAUAUUUAGGGUUCUUAUAUGGUCUGUAUGUUCCGGAUUGGCAAUAUGUGGUGCAAUCGGAUUCUUCUCUGGUGACUGCAAAUAGCACUAAUGUUUACGAAGUGAAAUGUUCUGUGAGAGGUGAUCUCAGUCCUGCUUGUAACUCUGCUGGAAUGAUAGACCGUUAUAUUCUUGGAGUUAAUCAUCUAUACGCUAAACCUGUUUACAGGAAUCUGAAGGAAUGCAAUAUAUCCAGCCAAGGACAUGUCCCACAAAAUUCACCUUCAUGGUGUCAUACUCCUUUUGAUCCUGAAGGUAUUUUGAGUUCAAUCACAGCUGCUGUAACAUGCAUCAUUGGACUCCAAUACGGCCACAUUUUAAUACAAUCACAGCACCACAAAGAACGGCUAUGGAACUGGUCCCUAUUCUCGGUUUCAUUAAUGGGUCUCGGUCUGUUACUUACCUUCUUUGGAAUACCGCUUAACAAAUCUCUGUACACGAUAAGUUACUUGUUGGUUACAACAGCAUCUGCUGGAAUAACUUUCUGCACACUAUACAUACUGGUUGAUGUUUACGGAUGGAGAUGGUUGACUUUUGUGUUGGAGUGGAUGGGGAAGCAUUCUCUAAGUAUCUUCAUUCUCGUAACUUCAAACAUAGUCGUCAUAACUGCUCAAGGAUUUUACCUUAAAUCUCCCCACAACAACAUUGUACACUGGAUCAUAACGCGGUUUGUGAACAAAUAACAAAAGAUGACGAAGGAAGUUGGUGAAGAGGUGGCGGCGCCUAAGGACUACGUGGACCCGCCGCCGGUUCCGUUUCUAGGCAUCGGUGAGCUGAAGCUGUGGUCCUUCUACAGAGCACUCAUCGCCGAGUUCAUCGCCACCCUCCUCUUUCUCUACGUCACCGUCGCCACCGUCAUCGGCCACAAGAAGCUCAGCGAACUCGACCAGUGCAACGGCGUCGGCCUCCUCGGCAUCGCCUGGGCUUUCGGCGGCAUGAUCUUCAUCCUCGUCUACUGCACCGCCGGAAUCUCAGGUGGGCACAUCAACCCGGCGGUUACAUUCGGGCUGUUUCUGGCGAGGAAGGUGUCGCUGAUUAGGGGAAUCUCUUACAUCAUAGCGCAGUCUCUGGGCGCUAUUUGCGGCGUGGGGCUGGUGAAAGCCUUCAUGAAGAGCGACUACAACCGCUUCGGCGGCGGCGCCAACUCCGUCGCCCAUGGUUACAACAUCGGCACGGCGGUGGGUGCCGAGAUUAUCGGCACCUUCGUGCUUGUUUACACAGUCUUCUCCGCCACAGACCCCAAGAGGAGCGCGCGUGACUCUCACGUGCCUGUCCUGGCCCCACUCCCGAUAGGGUUUGCAGUAUUCAUGGUCCACUUGGCCACCAUCCCCAUCACCGGCACCGGCAUCAACCCUGCUCGGAGCUUCGGAGCUGCCGUCAUCUACAACAACCAGAAGAUUUGGGAUGAUCAUUGGAUAUUCUGGGUGGGACCAAUGGCCGGAGCAAUAGCGGCGGCGAUAUACCACCAGUUUGUACUUAGGGCCGGAGCUAUUAAGGCGUUGGGAUCGUUCAGGAGCAAUCCGACCAACUAAGAAGAAUUUCUCAGAAAUCAAAAUUAAACUCUGUACCUUUUUUAAUUAGUUUUUCAUUCUUGUUUUUAUUAUUAUUAUUAUUAAUCUUUUUUUUUUUUAAAUUAUUUAUGUUUAAUUAAUAUGUAAUGAGAGAGAGAUUAUUACUGUUGUUAAUUAAGUACGAGCUAUUGUUUUUCUCUUUCUAUUUAGUUUUGUUUGUAGCUUUGGUUGUUGUGUAUGAAUUUUGGACAUUGCGACAAAAAGUAGUGCUGCUUUUGCUUUUGUGUUGUUU